AGGGUUCGAUUAUGGCUCAGGAUGAACGCUAGCGACAGGCUUAACACAUGCAAGUCGAGGGGCAGCAUUGUAAUUAGCUUGCUAAUUACAGAUGGCGACCGGCGCACGGGUGAGUAACGCGUAUGGAACCUGCCCUUUACAGGGGGAUAGCCCAUGGAAACGUGGAUUAAAAUCCCAUAAUACUUUGUUCAGGCAUCUGAAUGGAGUUAAAUCUACGGAGGUAAAGGAUGGCCAUGCGUCCUAUUAGCUGGUUGGCGGGGUAACGGCCCACCAAGGCGAUGAUAGGUAGGGGUUCUGAGAGGAAGGUCCCCCACAUUGGAACUGAGACACGGUCCAA
rnacentral:rRNA from 1 species